rnacentral:rRNA from 1 species
GACAGAGGGUGCAAACGUUGUUCGGAAUUACUGGGCGUAAAGCGCGUGUAGGCGGCCCUGCAAGUCAGAUGUGAAAUCCCACGGCUCAACCGUGGAAGUGCAUUCGAAACUGCAGGGCUAGAGUCCUGGAGAGGAAGGUGGAAUGCUUGGUGUAGAGGUGAAAUUCGUAGAUAUCAAGCGGAACACCGGUGGCGAAGGCGGCCUUCUGGACAGUGACUGACGCUGAGACGCGAAAGCGUGGGGAGCAAACAGG